rnacentral:lncRNA from 1 species
UCCACACCACCACUACCAUCACGUCCGCGCCGGCGCCGGGGCCGCGCACGAUGAGCGGCUGCUUGAAGUAGCGCGCGGUGGUGAAGGAGAUGAUGUUGUCGCUGCCCUGCAGCUGCGCAAAGGGGUGGGACUUGGGGUAGCGGCGCAGCUCCACGCUGCCCUUGCCGUUCUGGGCGUCCACCACACCCACGUAUCCGCGAGGCGGAGCAGGAGGCGGUAAGGAAGGGUUAGGGCAGGGUCAAGGAGCGCGUGUAGGUAUCCAGAGCCGCGCGUUUGGUCACUAAUGCCCCUACACCAACGUUCUUGCGUUUGCUGAGGCUCGUCAUGCACGUCCCUUUCCGAAGCCCCCCCGUAACACCGGCCAAAACCCGCCCCGCGCGCCCCGCCUCAUCCAGUCCCUUCCCCCGUCCCUCCCACCCACCAGGCCCCCCACCCCACCCAUCCCCCACCCCCCCGCCCCUGCCUACACACACACGCACACACAUCUCAAGCAGUCUCCGCUGGCCUCCGCCUCGCGCAGCUUGGCGUCCAUGUCGGCGUCGAACUCGGGCAGCCGCGCCAUGUAGUCGGCACUGCUGGCCACGGCGCGAAGCGGCUCUGUGUGUGUGCAGCGGGGGAGUGGUGAGUGUGGGCAAGAGGUGUUGAGGAGGAGGGAUUGCCAGCAUGGCGCAGGAAGGAUGGCAGGGAUGCGGCACGUCACGCUGAGAGCAGACGCUAGUGCCCUCUGGCCGCCCGGGACACCCGUUUGCCCCGUACCCCCUUCGACACGCGGCCCUACCCACCCCCCUGCCCCGAUCAUCAUCGCCCCACGUCAG